rnacentral:lncRNA from 1 species
CUCAGACCUAAAGAAGGAAAUAAUCACUGCUCAUACUGUGUUUGAAAACACAAGUAUUAAAGAGAGAACUGUGGAAACUUACUCUGGAAGUUUCAGAUGAAAUAAAUUCCCAGAGAUGAGUGCAUCUGACAACCAGAAAUGGCAACGCUGUGAGUUAGAGGUGAUAUGGUCUUUAGGCCAGAAGAGAAAGGGAUGGUGUGAAUGGUCUCAACCCCUUUCUCUAGCUCCCUCCUGGACUGAGCAGGAGAGCCUGCUGGUUCCAAUCCAUGAUCCAGAGCUGGAGGAAAGAGAUGUGACUCCAAACUGAAAUCAUGAAGCUUGAAGUUAUUUUCAAGCAGCAGUGUCUGUUGGUCCCUGGGGAAGGUGGGCUCAAUGUCAUCACAAGGGUGCUUAAGAGGGAAAGAGGAAGCCAUGAGGGUCAGAGUCAAAGGAAGACUUGAAGAUACUACACUGCGGACUUUAAAGAUGAAGGAAGGGGCGAAAACCAAGAAUGUGGGAAGCCUCUAGAAGCUAGAGAAGGCAAGGAAACAAAUUUUCCACUAGAGCCUCCAGAAGGAACACAGCCCUGCUGACCCACUGUAAUGUCUGACCUCUAGAUGUGUAAGGGUAGUAAGACUGAAAGUCUCAGAAAGGCACUGUUAAAUUCUUAUUCCUCAACUAUGCAACUCAAAACUGGGGUCCUCAGCAGUGAGCGAGGGGUGAGAGAAGACACUGUAUAAACAUGGCACAUCCUCCUGGAAAGUCAACUUUACUCAAAGGUUCUUACACACAGUGACAGCUAGCAGAGUCUAAAAUGCUGACAUUAUGACUUAGAGAUGUGAUAAAGAGAAACAUCUAUUGCAUUUUCUCAGUCAAGAGAAGCCAACUGUACUUUCAACACUGCUUAAAAC